rnacentral:rRNA from 1 species
UACGGAGGGUGCGAGCGUUAAUCGGAAUUACUGGGCGUAAAGCGCAUGUAGGCGGGCGACUAAGUCAGGGGUGAAAACCGUGGGCUCAACCUACGGCUUGCCCUUGAUACUGGUCGUCUUGAGUACAGGAGAGGGAAGCGGAAUUCCCGGUGUAGCGGUGAAAUGCGUAGAGAUCAGGAGGAACACCGAUGGCGAAGGCAGCCCCCUGGGCCUGUACUGACGCUCAUGCACGAAAGCGUGGGGAGCAAACAGG